AACGAACGCUGGCGGCAGGCUUAACACAUGCAAGUCGAACGAGAUCUUCGGAUCUAGUGGCAGACGGGUGAGGAACACGUGGGAACAUCCCUUUCAGUUCGGAAUAACGUUGGGAAACUAACGCUAAUACCGGAUACGUCCUUCGGGAGAAAGAUUUAUCGCUGAAAGAUUGGCCCGCGUCUGAUUAGCUAGUUGGUGAGGUAACGGCUCACCAAGGCUACGAUCAGUAGCUGAUCUGAGAGGAUGAUCAGCCACAUUGGGACUGAGACACGGCCCAAACUCCUACGGGAGGCAGCAGAGGGGAAUAUUGGACAAUGGGCGCAAGCUUGAUCCAGCCAUGCCGCGUGAGUGAUGACGGCCUUCGGGUUGUAAAGCUCUUUUGUCCGGGAAGAUAAUGACUGUACCGGAAGAAUAAGCCCCGGCAAACUUCGUGCCAGCCGCCGCCGUAA
rnacentral:rRNA from 1 species